rnacentral:misc_RNA from 1 species
GAUGAAGAACGUAGCGAAAUGCGAUAAGUAGUGUGAAUUGCAGAAUUCAGUGAAUCAUCGAAUCUUUGAACGCACAUUGUGCCCCUCGGUAUUCCGUGGGGCACGCCUGUUCGAGCGUCAUUUACACCCUCAAGCGCAGCUUGGUGUUGGGCGUCUGUCCCGCUCUCCGUAGCGCGGACUCGCCUCAAAGUCAUUGGCGGCGGUCGUGCCGGCUCCUCGCGCAGCACAUUUGCGCUUCUCGGAGGCCCGGCGGAUCGGCAUCCAGCAAGCUACUUUUUAUGACUUGACCUCGGAUCAGGUGAGGAUACCCGCUGAACUUAAGCAUAUCAAUAAGCGGAGGA